UUCUUGUGCCUAUUUGUAUUUAUAUUUCGUGCAAAUAUUGCCAAGAUAACGUCGGGUGUGAAAAGGUUUGUGGAACUACCAAAUAUUUGCAAAGUCGACAUUCGUUAUUACAUAAUAGCUAUCAUCGUUACACCCUUCUCAAAAACAUGCUUGAAAAAGCAACAACAGCGUGAUCGAGUUUAAUUCAAUACAAACCAAGUUUAACAAAUGAACGGCUCAUAUGAAUAACUGGUAUUGCUUGCAAGAUCUGUCACUCUCCUAGGUUUGCUUAUAGAAGGUAGCUUACAUAUACAGAAGGCAGUUUACUUUAACCACGAGUCACUCAGAAGGAAACGCCGAAGCCAUUAUAUGUAAAAUACCGGUAUUAAGUGAGCGUUAAGAUACAAAUGUGUUGGUAGGGAAUAGUUGUUGUGAACGAGC